rnacentral:rRNA from 1 species
AGAGUUUGAUCAUGGCUCAGAUUGAACGCUGGCGGCAGGCCUAACACAUGCAAGUCGAGCGGUAGCACAGGAGAGCUUGCUCUCUGGGUGACGAGCGGCGGACGGGUGAGUAAUGUCUGGGAAACUGCCUGAUGGAGGGGGGAUAACUACUGGAAACGGUAGCUAAUACCGCAUAACGUCUUCGGACCAAAGUGGGGGACCUUCGGGCCUCACGCCAUCAGAUGUGCCCAGAUGGGAUUAGCUAGUAGGUGGGGUAAUGGCUCACCUAGGCGACGAUCCCUAGCUGGUCUGAGAGGAUGACCAGCCACACUGGAACUGAGACACGGUCCAGACUCCUACGGGAGGCAGCAGUGGGGAAUAUUGCACAAUGGGCGCAAGCCUGAUGCAGCCAUGCCGCGUGUGUGAAGAAGGCCUUCGGGUUGUAAAGCACUUUCAGCGAGGAGGAAGGGUAGUGUGUUAAUAGCACAUUGCAUUGGACGUUACUCGCAGAAGAAGCACCGGCUAACUCCGUGCCAGCAGCCGCGGUAAUACGGAGGGUGCAAGCGUUAAUCGGAAUUACUGGGCGUAAAGCGCACGCAGGCGGUUUGUUAAGUCAGAUGUGAAAUCCCCGCGCUUAACGUGGGAACUGCAUUUGAAACUGGCAAGCUAGAGUCUUGUAGAGGGGGGUAGAAUUCCAGGUGUAGCGGUGAAAUGCGUAGAGAUCUGGAGGAAUACCGGUGGCGAAGGCGGCCCCCUGGACAAAGACUGACGCUCAGGUGCGAAAGCGUGGGGAGCAAACAGGAUUAGAUACCCUGGUAGUCCACGCUGUAAACGAUGUCGACUUGGAGGUUGUGCCCUUGAGGCGUGGCUUCCGGAGCUAACGCGUUAAGUCGACCGCCUGGGGAGUACGGCCGCAAGGUUAAAACUCAAAUGAAUUGACGGGGGGCCCGCACAAGCGGUGGAGCAUGUGGUUUAAUUCGAUGCAACGCGAAGAACCUUACCUACUCUUGACAUCCAGAGAAUUCGCUAGAGAUAGCUUAGUGCCUUCGGGAACUCUGAGACAGGUGCUGCAUGGCUGGUCGUCAGCUCGUGUUGUGAAAUGUUGGGUUAAGUCCGCAACGAGCGCAACCUUAUCCUUUGUUGCCAGCACGUAAUGGUGGGAACUCAAAGGAGACUGCCGGUGAUAAACCGGAGGAAGGUGGGGAUGACGUCAAGUCAUCAUGGCCUUUACGAGUAGGGCUACACACGUGCUACAAUGGCGUAUACAAAGAGAAGCGAACUCGCGAGAGCCAGCGGACCUCAUAAAGUACGUCGUAGUCCGGAUCGGAGUCUGCAACUCGACUCCGUGAAGUCGGAAUCGCUAGUAAUCGUAGAUCAGAAUGCUACGGUGAAUACGUUCCCGGGCCUUGUACACACGCCCGUCACACCAUGGGAGUGGGUUGCAAAAGAAGUAGGUAGCUUAACCUUCGGGAGGGCGCUUACCACUUUGUGAUUCAUGACUGGGGUGAAGUCGUAACAAGGUAACCGUAGGGGAACCUGCGGUUGGAUCACCU